rnacentral:rRNA from 1 species
GACAGAGGGUGCAAACGUUGCUCGGAAUCACUGGGCGUAAAGGGCGUGUAGGCGGGACAGUAAGUCGGGCGUGAAAUCCCUGGGCUCAACCCAGGAACUGCACUCGAAACUACUAUUCUUGAGUGUCGGAGAGGAAAGCGGAAUUCCUGGUGUAGAGGUGAAAUUCGUAGAUAUCAGGAGGAACACCAGUGGCGAAGGGCGGCCUUCUGG